rnacentral:rRNA from 1 species
UACGUAGGGACCGAGCGUUGUCCGGAAUCAUUGGGCGUAAAGAGCGUGUAGGCGGCUAUUUAAGUCCUGCGUGAAAUCCUGCGGCUCAACCGCAGACGGUCGUGGGAAACUGGAUGGCUAGAGUGCGGGAGAGGAGAGUGGAAUUCCCGGUGUAGCGGUGAAAUGCGCAGAUAUCGGGAAGAACACCCGUGGCGAAGGCGGCUCUCUGGAACGCAACUGAUGCUGAGACGCGAAAGCGUGGGGAGCAAACAGG